rnacentral:rRNA from 1 species
GAUGAACGCUGGCGGCGUGCCUAAUACAUGCAAGUCGAGCGAACAGAUAAGGAGCUUGCUCCUUUGAAGUUAGCGGCGGACGGGUGAGUAACACGUGGGUAACCUACUUAUAAGACUGGGAUAACUUCGGGAAACCGGAGCUAAUACCGGAUAACAUUUAGAACCGCAUGGUUCUAAAGUGAAAGAUGGUUUUGCUAUCACUUAUAGAUGGACCCGCGCCGUAUUAGCUAGUUGGUAAGGUAACGGCUUACCAAGGCGACGAUACGUAGCCGACCUGAGAGGGUGAUCGGCCACACUGGAACUGAGACACGGUCCAGACUCCUACGGGAGGCAGCAGUAGGGAAUCUUCCGCAAUGGGCGAAAGCCUGACGGAGCAACGCCGCGUGAGUGAUGAAGGGUUUCGGCUCGUAAAACUCUGUUAUUAGGGAAGAACAAAUGUGUAAGUAACUGUGCACAUCUUGACGGUACCUAAUCAGAAAGCCACGGCUAACUACGUG